GCCAGGUGUGGCGGUGCACACCUGUAAUCCCAGCUACUCAGGAGGCUGAGGUGGGAGAAUCACUUGAACCCAGGAGGCGAAAGUUGCAGUGAGCCGCGAUCGUACCACUGCACUCCAGCCUGGGUGACAGAGCGAGACCCCAUCUCAA
rnacentral:SRP_RNA from 1 species